CUGGGUCUUUCUUUUCAACUUAGUUAUUCAGCUAGGUUAUCCGCUGGGUUCUCUUCCCCGUCCUCGAGGUGACCGAGCUUUCUCUGCUGUUACAACGCACGGCUUCGGGCUUCACCGGUGACACCCAUGAUUGGACACGACAUAGGAUCGUCACCUUCCCGCGCCGGCUGUCCUGACGCCAUUCAUCAGGCGUGAAAUCACUGUCAUUGUGAACCCAAAGCAACAGAUUCCCUGUUUUUCACUCUUUCCGAAC
rnacentral:lncRNA from 1 species